CAAGAAGUUGGUAUUCAAAUCCUGGAGAAUACAUUGGGAUUGCUAUAAUCAGUGGAUUCAUGUCAAUGCGCCCGAGUUGGUUUGUUUUAAGUUCAAAGGCAAUCUUCCAAUAUUUAAAUUUGGGGAUGGUAAUCUGUUGCAUCUGGAGAGGGCUUGCUUUGAUUUGAGCGAUCUUAAUAGCGACAGAAGUUGUUGACUUCUGAAAGCCUGUUAAAUAUCCUUUAUGAGAUGAGACAUGUUAAGUUUGUAUCUUCAUCGACAAAUACUAAGAAGGUUAUUGCCAACUUUCAUGUUUUGGGAGAUCCUGGAACACUUGCAUCAAACAAUCUCGAGGUCCUGAAAUGGAAAGUUCAGGAAUGCAUAAAGAGUUUCCAAGAUUUAGUGAAGGAUGAGAGUGAAGCCAACUGAGGCAGACGCACCUGCGUUAAUUCAUUAAAGGAGUUAUAUGGAAAUUUUCAGGUUUUGAUGUAGUAUGUUUUUUUUUUAGAAGAAUGGUUGUGUAAUGGCAUUAUUCUUGUUGCGUAAGAUACUUAAUUGUCCUGUACUGUUGUUCAAUAUUAAUCAAGACGGAACAAAGUGUCUCUUCCUGGUUUCGUA